rfam:Triticum aestivum genome assembly, contig: Triticum_aestivum_CS42_TGACv1_scaffold_514399_6BS
GAUAUACUCCCUCCGUCCGAAAAUACUUGUCACACAAAUAGAUGAAAUUGAAUGUAUCUAGAACUAAAAUAUGUCUAGAUACAUUCAUUUCCCCGAUAAGUAUUUCCGGACGGAGGGAGUACCAU